UGGGGAAUCUUGCGCAAUGGGCGAAAGCCUGACGCAGCCAUACCGCGUGGAGGAAGACACCCCUACGGGGCGUAAACUCCUUUUCUGCCGGAAGAAUGCCUUGGCUACCAAGGACUGACGGUACGGCAGGAAUAAGCACCGGCUAACUCCGUGCCAGCAGCCGCGGUAAUACGGAGGGUGCAAGCGUUGUCCGAAAUUACUGGGUGUAAAGGGUGUGUAGGCGGGGCAGCAAGUCAGAGGUGAAAGCCCACGGCUUAACCGUGGAAGUGCCUUUGAAACUGCUGUUCUUGAGUCCCGGAGAGGUCGUCGGAAUUCGUGGUGUAGCGGUGAAAUGCGUAGAUAUCACGAGGAACACCAGUGGCGUAAGCGGACGACUGGACGGGUACUGACGCUGAGGCACGAGAGCGUGGGGAGCAAACA
rnacentral:rRNA from 1 species